AUAUUCACCUAGCAGGGGAGAUACCAUGAUCACGAAGGUGGUUUUCCCAGGGCGAGGUUUAUUCAUUGCACUCCGGAUGUGCUGAUCCCUGCAAUUUCCCCAAAUGUGGGAAACUCGGCUGCAUAAUUUGUGGUAGUGGGGCACUGUGUUAAAAAAAAAAAAAAAUCCAG